UACGUAGGGCGCGAGCGUUGUUCGGAAUUACUGGGCGUAAAGCGCACGUAGGCGGCUUUGUAAGUUAGAGGUGAAAGCCCGGGGCUCAACUCCGGAAUUGCCUUUAAGACUGCAUCGCUUGAACAUCGGAGAGGUGAGUGGAAUUCCGAGUGUAGAGGUGAAAUUCGUAGAUAUUCGGAAGAACACCAGUGGCGAAGGCGACUCACUGGACGAUUGUUGACGCUGAGGUGCGAAAGCGUGGGGAGCAAACAGG
rnacentral:rRNA from 1 species